rnacentral:lncRNA from 1 species
AUGACUGGAUUAGCAUGUGCACCAUACCAAGAUUAUCAUGAAAGAUGGGACCACGAGAAUUCCUGGGACCAGAUGGAAAGAACUGUGUCAGCUGAGUUAACUGAGAACACAAGGAAUCUGUAUUGCAGGUGGCCAUUUUUACAAAGUGGGAGAGACACCACGUUAAUCAAGCAAAGAAGAGACAAGCAAAGCUAAGAGAUGGACAGAAAAGAAGAUCCUGAUGUGAAGCAGAAGAAAGCACCCUUAGAAUAAAAACGUGGUCCACAGUGCCUGUAUUCGAAUU